rnacentral:sRNA from 1 species
CAAAUUCCAGAUGAAAAAACUUUGAGAAAUUAUUGCAUAGAAGUUGAGGGCUACUUACAAGAUUAUAAAGAAGCUUUUAUAGAUGAAGAUUUCUUUUCUGUUUUGUCAGAGCAUAUUAUGGAAAUUCUUAAACUGAAUUGGGAUGAACUUCGAGAAGAAGACAAACUUCAAUUGGAAAGACUUUUUGUUCUUAUUCGUAAUAUUUUAAUGAUUCCACCAGAUCCAGCCAGA